rnacentral:lncRNA from 1 species
AUCACAUCAAAACUUUUGAUGGGAUAUUGGCCAACUCCGGGUAUUGUGAGGACAAAGCUCAACAUCUCCUUUCAUCCCUUGCUGUGAGCCCACAACAAAAGGAAGCCAUCGAGAGAGCCACAGUUGGGCAAACUAAGAAUGACUUAUGGAUGGCAUAUCGCAAGAAGAGAGUUACAGCCAGCAACUUUGGUCUUGUGUUGGCGGCAGUGAAGAGGAACUCUUACCCUCCUUCAUUAUUCAAAACGCUGCUUGGUCAUUACAACUUCAAGCAAGGAGCUCAUGCUUGUGAUUGGGGAAUCGUUCAUGAGCCAAAGGCUAAAGAAGAGUACAUGAAGCGCACUGGUGUGACCAUCCAGGAGAGCGGAGUGUUUCUCUCUGACAGUGGCCUGCUUGGUGGCUCUCCAGAUGGGACAGUAUCUGCUGACUGCAUCAUUGAGGUGAAAUGUCCUUAUGCAGCCAGAAAGAAGACCAUAAUUCAGGCAGCAGAGGCAAAGGACUUUUAUCUCAAACUGGAUGAAGUUACUGGCCUACUGAAAAUGAAGCCGACUCACAACUACUGGCAUCAAAUUCAGGGCAACCUGUACCUGACAGGAGCUGGCACAUGUCACCUGGUGGUAUGGACUCCGCUGGAUGUUGUAAUUCUGUUCAUCCAUAAAGAUCCAGCUUGGGCAAACAUUAGUGUUUUAGAAAUAUUUUAUAAGGACAUUUUCCUGCCCCAUAUUCUCUCCGAUAUUAAAUGAUUAACCCUGCAUUUGUUUACAUGUUCUAAAUAGGGAUGUCAGGAUUCAAAUUUUUGAGUCACGAAUAUUAUGAGGAAAAAUGUUGCGAUUUCUUUACAAUUAUUCAUGAAUAGCGAAAUUUAGAAGAAAGAAUUUCUCAACCUUUACAGUUCUGUGUAAAUGUUCACAAAAGAGGACAUUUUAC